UUCUGUUCUUUGUCUUUUUUUUUUUUAACUUACACAUGUUUUUCUUUGGGUUUUUUUUUUUUUAAGAAACCCUAGAAAAGAUUAAGCUUUGGGGUUUUAUUCUGCCCGUUUCAAUUGGGGUUUUUUGAGUUUAAUAAUUUUCAAUUAGGGUUACUAGGAUUUUACUCCAUCUGGGAAUUUUCGGGUUUCUGCUGUGUUUAAGGUUUAUAGGGGUUUUCACUAUCUAUUUCCUGUGGUACAAUAUUUAUAGGGUUUUAGGGUUAGGGUUUCUACUGUUCUUAAGCAAUUAGGGUUUUUUUUUUUUGUGCAAAUUGUGGUAAUUCGUGUUUUGGUAUAAUUGGGAAUUUUAUUGGUUUGGUUUUUUUUUGGUUUCAGUAGCUAGGGUUUUGGGAGCUAGGGUUUAGCAGAAUAUGGAAUCCGAUCAAGGCAAACUCUUUGUGGGAGGCAUAUCUCGGGAGACAACUGAAGCUACUCUCAAGGAUCAUUUCAGCAAAUACGGCAACGUUGUGAGCUCAGUUGUAGCUAAAGACAGGAACACCAAAAGCCCUCGUGGUUUUGGCUUUGUUUUGUUCUCUGAACCUUCUUCAGCUGAUAAAGCUCUUCAAGACACCCAUGUUAUUCUUGGGAGAACGGUAGAAGUGAAAAAAGCGAUACCCCGAAGUGAACAACACCAAAACCAACAGCAACAGCAGCAACCACACCACAAUCCGAAUCAACAACUGAAUAGUGGGUUCAGUAGGAAUGGUUGUGAAGCUGCUGACAGCAACAAUCACUUUAGGACUAAAAAAAUUUUUGUAGGGGGUUUAUCUGCUAGUCUAACUGAGGACGAGUUUAAGAAUUACUUUGAAAGAUUUGGUAGAAUAACAGAUGUCGUUGUGAUGCAUGACAGCUCGACUAACCGACCUAGAGGAUUUGGGUUUGUUACCUUUGAAUCAGAGGAGUCUGUGGAGAAUGUUAUGCAGAAGAAUUUUCAUGAGUUGAAUAAUAGGCUUGUGGAGGUCAAGCGUGCAGUGCCAAAAGAGGGAAAUAAUGGCAGUAACGGUAAUUAUAACAUGAAGACUGGUGUUGGAAGGGGAUCUCCUUAUAAUGGUUUUCAGCCUGCUGAGUACUCUUCCAGUAGUCCUGGAUAUGGAAUAUUUCCCGGUUAUGGUCCUCUUCUUGGGUAUAAUACCGUUGGGGGAUAUGUUUAUGGAACUGGUGUUUAUGGCAGUGGGUACCCGACAGUAGGCUAUGAAAGGGUUGGUUAUGGUGUCUCUCCAGUUACCCCUAGGGGCCCUUUGUAUGCCCCUGUAAUGCUUGGAGCAAGAGUUUUUCCUCUGCCUUAUGGAACUGCAUCAAUCUAUCCUUCGUAUAUGAAUGGUGGAGUUGGUCUAAUGGGUACAGCGACUGGUGGGUUCAAUGGGAUUAUUGGAACUGGAGUUGAUGGGAAAUGGAAUCAGGUUCGUGGUGGCUUUGGAGAUCUGCCAGCAAAUGCCAUGCCACCUCAGAUUGAAGGGGUUAACUUCGGUAGUGAUCGUCCGGGUUUAAAAGAGCAAAGUGGUGGUGCUUCUAGUGAACAGGAACAGAAAGGUCUUGAUGGACAACUUAAACCUUUAGAUGCUUCUAGAUGAUUAUUUGGCUCUUUUGGAGCUUUGAAGGGUUAGUAAAUUCUUUAACUAAUGGGUUAGGGUAGUUUAACCAUCACUGUUCAGUAUCCUUUUUAGAUGUAAUCUGUGUCAUAAACAUGCUGCAUUGCUCUGUGUCGUAAACGUGCUGCACUGCUGUGUCGUCUUUAGUUUAUGAUUUGUCAGUACAAAAUUCAGCAUUCUGUAAUAUAACUGCAUUUAGAUUCAACUUCUCUUGUGCAUUUUACCUCUCUGUUAGGCAAUGUUAAUAAUGAAGCAAUACAGAAGCAUAUUUGGAUCUAAAAGGUUGCUUUCUCGGUCCUUUUUGGGCAUUGAUGUUGUUGUCAUCCCAUUGAUUUUUACCAAUUUCUCUCUCGAAUCUUCCCCCAACUCCAAACUCAAUCUAUUGGUUCUCUUGCUCAUAUGAUCAACAAGCACGCACAGGGAGAGACCCGCUUGUAGAAGAUAUAGCUGAAAGUCGAGUGGCUUUGCUUGCUGGUGGGGAUGUGUUUGCUCUGCUUAUGUUUUCUGCAAUUGGUAUAUACAAUCAUGGCCUCCCAAAUUUUUCAAUGGACAGGCUACGUAAAGCUGACUCUUUCAUGGCGGGAUGGUUUGAGUGCAUGCUUCCUUGGUGGCUAUGGCGAGGUUGGGCAAGGAGCCAAUGGUCUAUCCAAAGCCGUCACUGCUGCCGCCAAAUCUUAGGGUUUGGGAAUUCCUUUUAAGUUUUUUUCUUCUUUUUCCAAAUUUGAACUAUUCAUCUGAACGUAAGUUCAUAACAAUUAAAACAAUUUGUGGGGUUUAUUUGUAAGUUAAAAGUUGGGAGAGGGGGACUCAAACUUGAGACCUUUAAUAGGAGGUGAGGUAUGGUUACAUGAUUUCUUCAAUGAUUGUUUCUGUUAAGGUGUCAAAUGUUGUGCUUUUGCUGUCUCAUCAUACUGCUUAGAAGCCUUAGAAUUAAUAAGUUGAUCAUGUUGUUUUUGACUUGCCGCUACUAGUUACUUUAAAGUUACAUUCCACCCUUUUCUUUCUCUUUUCUAGUUGUUUUUUACAUACCUAGCUGACAACUUAUCUAUGUAAAUCAUAUCCCAUUCCU